GUAAACUCGGUUCGAAAUCGCCUCCAUUGGCCUGUAUUCUCCAGUUUCUGCAAUCACACACACAUGGAAAACGUUAUAAGACAAGUGGGUCAAGGGACCCCAUCUUGCCUUUCGGGAACAUCCACGGCCGUGCACAUUCAAAAAGAGGAAGAGAAGAAUGAGAGAAGAAAGAUUCAGGUUAGAAGAGUUUGACCAGACGGUGAGAUCAACGUAGUGACUAAACUAAUAAGUAAUUGACCUGGCGUGGCAAUAAAACAGGCUCAGUAACUCAGACUGGUUCAACAUAAUUACUAUUAGACAACAGUAUCAAUACCAACUAGCUAGACACAAUAAUUAGUCUGUCGUGGCGAUAAAG
rnacentral:lncRNA from 1 species